GUCGACAGCCAUGCCACCCUGAACGAGCUCAAUCCCAUCUGAUCUCAGAAGCUAAGCAGGGUCGGGCCUGGUUAGUACUUGGAUGGGAGACCACCUAAGAAGACCAGGUGCUGUAGGCG
rnacentral:rRNA from 1 species